rnacentral:rRNA from 1 species
AUUGAACGCUGGCGGCAUGCUUUACACAUGCAAGUCGAGCGGCAGCGCGGGGGCAACCCUGGCGGCGAGCGGCGGACGGGUGAGUAGAGCAUCGGAACGUAUCCCGUAGUGGGGGACAACCCAGCGAAAGCUGGGCUAAUACCGCAUAUGCUCUACGGAGGAAAGUGGGGGACUCGCAAGGGCCUCACGCUAUGGGAGCGGCCGAUGUCCGAUUAGCUAGUUGGUGGGGUAAUGGCUUACCAAGGCGACGAUCGGUAGCUGGUCUGAGAGGAUGAUCAGCCACACUGGGACUGAGACACGGCCCAGACUCCUACGGGAGGCAGCAGUGGGGAAUUUUGGACAAUGGGGGCAACCCUGAUCCAGCCAUGCCGCGUGCGGGAAGAAGGCCUUCGGGUUGUAAACCGCUUUUGUCUGGGAAGAAAAGGCCUCGGCUAAUACCUGAGGUUCUUGACGGUACUGGAAGAAUAAGCACCGGCUAACUACGUGCCAGCAGCCGCCGUAACAC